rnacentral:rRNA from 1 species
UACGUAGGGUGCGAGCGUUAAUCGGAAUUACUGGGCGUAAAGCGUGCGUAGGCGGUUCGUUAAGUUCGUUGUGAAAGCCCCGGGCUCAACCUGGGAAUUGCAUUCGAGACUGCAUUGCUGGAGUACGGAAGAGGAAGGCGGAAUUCCCGGUGUAGCGGUGAAAUGCGUAGAUAUCGGGAGGAACAUCAGUGGCGAAGGCGGCCUUCUGGUCCAGUACUGACACUCAAGUGCGAAAGCGUGGGGAGCAAAAGGG